CCCUGUAUUAUAAUAAAACAAAAAAAAAACAAAUAUUACUACCUCAAUUUGAAAAGGAUUCACAGCAUGCAGUUAGACAGAUAAAGGAGGAUGUCAUUCUCACCGUACGAGUUUCCUCAACUGCUCAAUGUGGAUUGCAAGUUCUUUCUGCUUACAUAUUAGUGUCUCUAGGGUCUGAAAGUACGAAGAAAAUAUCACUCAGCUGAUGCUUAGGCUGCAAUUUCUUAAUUAAGUGUCUUUUCUCACCUCCUUGGUCUGAGCAGCACAGUCUUCAAGUUCUUGUAUCUUCCCUGAGAUCUGUUCGUUGGCUUGUUUCUGAUGAGUAUUUCCACUCAUCUGAUUAGCAACCUGUUCCAUACAGAUUUACAACAAUUAGUAACUGGAGAAUUCUCAUUUCAUGGGGAGUAGUUAGGCUAUGAGGCAAAACCACUCAUUCGAAAGACAUACAAGUAAUAUCUGCUAAUCUGAACUCCCGAAGUGCAACUGUACUACUGGUUCACAGUCAAACCAUAGCACAAACCUUUUGAGAUUUUUUUUUUUACUUUCUGUGCUAUGUGCUAUCAGAUGUGCUGUUCCAGUUUUUUAAAUGGAAGUAUACAAGGACAGAAGCAGAAUUUCAGUAACAGUAUCAAGACCUGAUUAUCCUCUAACAACAACAUGCCAAGAGUACGUUUCCUACCACACGUGGGAUCUACAUGUCUUGCUGAAGGCUCCUGCAAAUAAAGUGUCAGAAAUCCAAAAUGCAUUCUUUGCAAAGGAAAGGAGGGAGAAAACGAGAGAAGAUAGGAGUAUGUUUCUUCUAUUCUAAUAUGACACUUGGUGAUGAAAUGGAGGUGGGAGGGUAAAAACAAGAUGAAAUGAGUAGAUACAAUGAAGGUGUGACACUUCUAUUUUUCUCCAAUAGAUGUUUUCUUUUGAUGGGGAAGCUCCCUGUGUUAUGUCAUAAUAUUUUUUUCCGAAAAUCAGCCACUGAAGAAGACAGGAAACCUCAAUGGAGAGAUGAAGAGGGGGCAAUCCAGGAAAGGAAGCUCACAGAUAAGUUCCAUAUCAUCCCCAAACGGAAAACACAUGAAAAGGAAGUAAAUAGGAGCUCAGGCCUGAUGGUACGAUUGAAGAGAACAAUGCUAGGCUUCUGGCCAAGGGUUAUACCCAGAAAGAGGUGAAGAUUUCUUCAAUACUUACUCGCCUAUGGCCAGACUGACCACCAUUCGAGUGUUACUCUCAUUGGGGGCCUCGCAUGGUCUUCUCGUCCAUCAGAUGGACGUCAGGAAGGAAGGAAAUGAGCUCCUAAGCAAUGGCAUGAGAAGUUUGAGAAAGCUUAACAUCUGUCGGUUUUGUUCUUAAUGAAGCUGACAAAUGUGUAUACUGUCGCCAUGGGGAGGAGUUAUGUUGUGCCUGUAUGUCAUACUGAUAUUUGGAACCAACCUCAAAGUCAUUGAGGAGGUUAAGGCUUUUCUAUCUCAUAACUUUGAGAUGAAAGAUCUUGGUGUGCUGAUGUUAUCUUGAACAUCAAGUUAUUGAGAGAUAUUGAGGGUGGGAUUACACUUCUGUAAUUCCACUAUGUUGAGAACAUUCUGAGUCGCUUUGGUUAUUCAGAUUACAAAUCUUUUCCAA